AGCAGGAUCCUGAGUAGGUCGGGACACGAGGAAUCCCGAUUGAAACCGCGAGGACCAUCUCGCAAGGCUAAAUACUCCCUAGUGACCGAUAGUGAACCAGUACCGUGAGGGAAAGGUGAAAAGCACCCCGGAAGGGGAGUGAAAUAGUUCCUGAAACCAUGUGCCUACAAGCUGUCGGAGCCCGUUAAUGGGUGACGGCGUGCCUCUUGCAGAAUGAACCGGCGAGUUACGAUUGCAUGCAAGGUUAAGGUGGAAAAACCGGAGCCGUAGCGAAAGCGAGUCUUAAAUGGGCGUAAAAAGUAUGUAGUUGUAGACCCGAAACCAGGUGACCUACCCAUGUCCAGGUUGAAGGUGCGGUAAAGCGCACUGGAGGACCGAACCCGUGUCAGUUGAAAAUGGCUGGGAUGAGGUGUGGGUAGCGGUGAAAUUCCAAACGAACUUGGAGAUAGCUGGUUCUCUCCGAAAUCUCUUUAGGGGGAGCCUUGAGGUAAAGAAUCGUGGAGGUAGAGCUACUGUUUGGACAAGGGGCCCGUCAUGGGUUACCAACUUCAGAUAAACUCCGAAUGCCAUUGAUUUAUACUCAGGAGUCAGACGAUGAGUGAUAAGAUCCACCGUCGAAAGGGGAACAGCCCAGAUCACCAGUUAAGGUCCCUAAAUAUAUGCUAAGUGGAAAAGGAUGUGGAGUUGCAUAGACAACUAGGAUGUUGGCUUAGAAGCAGCCACUCAUUUAAAGAGUGCGUAAUAGCUCACUAGUCGAGUGACUCUGCGCCGAAGAUAAACGGGGCUAAAAUCUACUACCGAAGCUUAGGAAUUACAUUUAGUAAUUGGUAGAGGAGCAUCGUAUACGGGCAGAAGCUGUGCUGUAAGGCAUGGUGGACUGUAUACGAGAGAGAAUGUUGGCAUGAGUAGCGAGAGGCAGGUGAGAAUCCUGCCCGCCGAAAAUCUGAGGAUUCCUGAGGAAGGUUCGUCCGCUCAGGGUAAGUCGGGACCUAAGCCGAGAACGAAAGUUGUAGGCGAUGGACAACAGGUUGAGAUUCCUGUACCACCGAGGAUCAUUUGAAUGAAGUGGGGACGCAGGAGGAUAGGCUGAGCGCGCCGUUGGUGGAGCGCGUCCAAGCACGGAGGGAGUUGACCAGGCAAAUCCGGUCAGCGAGUUCCUGACGUGUGAUGGGGAGGGAAAACAAGUACCGAAGCAGCUGAUUUCACACUGCCAAGAAAAGCCGCUGGUGAGAUCCAAGGUGCCCGUACCGCAAACCGACACAGGUAGAUGAGGAGAGAAUCCUAAGGCGAGCGAGAGAACUAUUGUUAAGGAACUCGGCAAAAUGACCCCGUAACUUAGGGAGAAGGGGUGCUGCAGAAAUGCAGCCGCAGUGAAGAGGCCCAGGCGACUGUUUACCAAAAACACAGGUCUCUGCGAAAGCGAAAGCUGAAGUAUAGGGGCUGACGCCUGCCCGGUGCUGGAAGGUUAAGGGGAUGUGUAAGGGCAACCGAAGCACUGAACUUAAGCCCCAGUAAACGGCGGCCGUAACUAUAACGGUCCUAAGGUAGCGAAAUUCCUUGUCGGGUAAGUUCC
rnacentral:rRNA from 1 species